rnacentral:rRNA from 1 species
GGUUAAGCGACUAAGCGUACACGGUGGAUGCCCUGGCAGUCAGAGGCGAUGAAGGACGUGCUAAUCUGCGAUAAGCGUCGGUGAGGUGAUAUGAACCGUUAUAACCGGCGAUUUCCGAAUGGGGAAACCCAGUGUGUUUCGACACACUAUCAUUAACUGAAUCCAUAGGUUAAUGAGGCGAACCGGGGGAACUGAAACAUCUAAGUACCCCGAGGAAAAGAAAUCAACCGAGAUUCCCCCAGUAGCGGCGAGCGAACGGGGAGGAGCCCAGAGCCUGAAUCAGUGUGUGUGUUAGUGGAAGCGUCUGGAAAGGCGUGCGAUACAGGGUGACAGCCCCGUACACAAAAAUGCACAUAUUGUGAGCUCGAUGAGUAGGGCGGGACACGUGGUAUCCUGUCUGAAUAUGGGGGGACCAUCCUCCAAGGCUAAAUACUCCUGACUGACCGAUAGUGAACCAGUACCGUGAGGGAAAGGCGAAAAGAACCCCGGCGAGGGGAGUGAAAAAGAACCUGAAACCGUGUACGUACAAGCAGUGGGAGCCUCUUUAUGGGGUGACUGCGUACCUUUUGUAUAAUGGGUCAGCGACUUAUAUUCUGUAGCAAGGUUAACCGAAUAGGGGAGCCGAAGGGAAACCGAGUCUUAACUGGGCGUUAAGUUGCAGGGUAUAGACCCGAAACCCGGUGAUCUAGCCAUGGGCAGGUUGAAGGUUGGGUAACACUAACUGGAGGACCGAACCGACUAAUGUUGAAAAAUUAGCGGAUGACUUGUGGCUGGGGGUGAAAGGCCAAUCAAACCGGGAGAUAGCUGGUUCUCCCCGAAAGCUAUUUAGGUAGCGCCUCGUGAAUUCAUCUCCGGGGGUAGAGCACUGUUUCGGCAAGGGGGUCAUCCCGACUUACCAACCCGAUGCAAACUGCGAAUACCGGAGAAUGUUAUCACGGGAGACACACGGCGGGUGCUAACGUCCGUCGUGAAGAGGGAAACAACCCAGACCGCCAGCUAAGGUCCCAAAGUCAUGGUUAAGUGGGAAACGAUGUGGGAAGGCCCAGACAGCCAGGAUGUUGGCUUAGAAGCAGCCAUCAUUUAAAGAAAGCGUAAUAGCUCACUGGUCGAGUCGGCCUGCGCGGAAGAUGUAACGGGGCUAAACCAUGCACCGAAGCUGCGGCAGCGACACUAUGUGUUGUUGGGUAGGGGAGCGUUCUGUAAGCCUGUGAAGGUGGCCUGUGAGGGUUGCUGGAGGUAUCAGAAGUGCGAAUGCUGACAUAAGUAACGAUAAAGCGGGUGAAAAGCCCGCUCGCCGGAAGACCAAGGGUUCCUGUCCAACGUUAAUCGGGGCAGGGUGAGUCGACCCCUAAGGCGAGGCCGAAAGGCGUAGUCGAUGGGAAACAGGUUAAUAUUCCUGUACUUGGUGUUACUGCGAAGGGGGGACGGAGAAGGCUAUGUUGGCCGGGCGACGGUUGUCCCGGUUUAAGCGUGUAGGCUGGUUUUCCAGGCAAAUCCGGAAAACCAAGGCUGAGGCGUGAUGACGAGGCACUACGGUGCUGAAGCGACAAAUGCCCUGCUUCCAGGAAAAGCCUCUAAGCAUCAGGUAACAUCAAAUCGUACCCCAAACCGACACAGGUGGUCAGGUAGAGAAUACCAAGGCGCUUGAGAGAACUCGGGUGAAGGAACUAGGCAAAAUGGUGCCGUAACUUCGGGAGAAGGCACGCUGAUAUGUAGGUGAAGCGACUUGCUCGUGGAGCUGAAAUCAGUCGAAGAUACCAGCUGGCUGCAACUGUUUAUUAAAAACACAGCACUGUGCAAACACGAAAGUGGACGUAUACGGUGUGACGCCUGCCCGGUGCCGGAAGGUUAAUUGAUGGGGUUAGCGGUAACGCGAAGCUCUUGAUCGAAGCCCCGGUAAACGGCGGCCGUAACUAUAACGGUCCUAAGGUAGCGAAAUUCCUUGUCGGGUAAGUUCCGACCUGCACGAAUGGCGUAAUGAUGGCCAGGCUGUCUCCACCCGAGACUCAGUGAAAUUGAACUCGCUGUGAAGAUGCAGUGUACCCGCGGCAAGACGGAAAGACCCCGUGAACCUUUACUAUAGCUUGACACUGAACAUUGAGCCUUGAUGUGUAGGAUAGGUGGGAGGCUUUGAAGUGUGGACGCCAGUCUGCAUGGAGCCGACCUUGAAAUACCACCCUUUAAUGUUUGAUGUUCUAACGUUGGCCCGUAAUCCGGGUUGCGGACAGUGUCUGGUGGGUAGUUUGACUGGGGCGGUCUCCUCCUAAAGAGUAACGGAGGAGCACGAAGGUUGGCUAAUCCUGGUCGGACAUCAGGAGGUUAGUGCAAUGGCAUAAGCCAGCUUGACUGCGAGCGUGACGGCGCGAGCAGGUGCGAAAGCAGGUCAUAGUGAUCCGGUGGUUCUGAAUGGAAGGGCCAUCGCUCAACGGAUAAAAGGUACUCCGGGGAUAACAGGCUGAUACCGCCCAAGAGUUCAUAUCGACGGCGGUGUUUGGCACCUCGAUGUCGGCUCAUCACAUCCUGGGGCUGAAGUAGGUCCCAAGGGUAUGGCUGUUCGCCAUUUAAAGUGGUACGCGAGCUGGGUUUAGAACGUCGUGAGACAGUUCGGUCCCUAUCUGCCGUGGGCGCUGGAGAACUGAGGGGGGCUGCUCCUAGUACGAGAGGACCCGGAGUGGACGCAUCACUGGUGUUCGGGUUGUCAUGCCAAUGGCACUGCCCGGUAGCUAAAUGCGGAAGAGAUAAGUGCUGAAAGCAUCUAAGCACGAAACUUGCCCCGAGAUGAGUUCUCCCUGACUCCUUGAGAGUCCUGAAGGAACGUUGAAGACGACGACGUUGAUAGGCCGGGUGUGUAAGCGCAGCGAUGCGUUGAGCUAACCGGUACUAAUGAACCGUGAGGCUUAACCUUAC